rnacentral:tRNA from 1 species
UCCAGGGUAGCCUAGUGGAUAUGGCAACUGCCCGGUAAGCGGAACACUGUGGGUUCUAUUCCCUUCCCUGGAC